rnacentral:rRNA from 1 species
UACAUGGGGUGCAAACGUUGCUCGGAAUUAUUGGGCGUAAAGCGCGCGUAGGCGGUUACUUAAGUCGGAUGUGAAAGCCCUCGGCUUAACUGAGGAAGUGCACCCGAAACUGAGUAGCUAGAGUACGAAAGAGGGUCGCGGAAUUCCCGGUGUAGAGGUGAAAUUCGUAGAUAUCAGGAGGAACACCGAUGGCGAAAGCAGGUACCUGGACCAUUACUGACACUCAGCUGCGAAAGCUAGGGGAGCAAACAGG